AUUGAACGCUGGCGGCAUGCCUUACACAUGCAAGUCGAACGGUAACGCGGGGCAACCUGGCGACGAGUGGCGAACGGGCGAGUAAUGCAUCGGAACGUGCCCAGUUGUGGGGGAUAACUGCUCGAAAGAGCAGCUAAUACCGCAUACGACCUGAGGGUGAAAGCGGGGGAUCGCAAGACCUCGCGCAAUUGGAGCGGCCGAUGUCGGAUUAGCUAGUUGGUGGGGUAAAGGCCCACCAAGGCGACGAUCCGUAGCUGGUCUGAGAGGACGACCAGCCACACUGGGACUGAGACACGGCCCAGACUCCUACGGGAGGCAGCAGUGGGGAAUUUUGGACAAUGGACGCAAGUCUGAUCCAGCCAUGCCGCGUGCGGGAAGAAGGCCUUCGGGUUGUAAACCGCUUUUGUCAGGGAAGAAAUCUUCUGGGUUAAUACCUCGGGAGGAUGACGGUACCUGAAGAAUAAGCACCGGCUAACUACGUGCCAGCCGCCGCAGUAAUAC
rnacentral:rRNA from 1 species